UUUUGCUCCUAAUCAUUUCAACUAAUCCUUAUCGUCCUUAACUCUGCAGGCCAUAGAUUUUUCCUUAUGUCCCUUUGCUUCCCUUAUCAAUUUUCUACAGUUCCUAGCUUCUGAUUGAUAUUCAUUUUUUAUCAACUUCCCCUUUCUUCCAUGUGCUAUAUAUAAUUUUAAAAUUG